GACGCUAGCUACAGGCUUAACACAUGCAAGUCGAGGGGCUGCAUGGUCUUAGCUUGCUAAGGCCGAUGGCGACCGGCGCACGGGUGAGUAACACGUAUCCAACCUGCCGUCUACUCUUGGACAGCCUUCUGAAAGGAAGAUUAAUACAAGAUGGCAUCAUGAGUCCGCAUGUUCACAUGAUUAAAGGUAUUCCGGUAGACGAUGGGGAUGCGUUCCAUUAGAUAGUAGGCGGGGUAACGGCCCACCUAGUCUUCGAUGGAUAGGGGUUCUGAGAGGAAGGUCCCCCACAUUGGAACUGAGACACGGUCCAAACUCCUACGGGAGGCAGCAGUGAGGAAUAUUGGUCAAUGGGCGAGAGCCUGAACCAGCCAAGUAGCGUGAAGGAUGACUGCCCUAUGGGUUGUAAACUUCUUUUAUAAAGGAAUAAAGUCGGGUAUGGAUACCCGUUUGCAUGUACUUUAUGAAUAAGGAUCGGCUAACUCCGUGCCAGCAGCCGCGGUAAUACGGAGGAUCCGAGCGUUAUCCGGAUUUAUUGGGUUUAAAGGGAGCGUAGAUGGAUGUUUAAGUCAGUUGUGAAAGUUUGCGGCUCAACCGUAAAAUUGCAGUUGAUACUGGAUAUCUUGAGUGCAGUUGAGGCAGGCGGAAUUCGUGGUGUAGCGGUGAAAUGCUUAGAUAUCACGAAGAACUCCGAUUGCGAAGGCAGCCUGCUAAGCUGCAACUGACAUUGAGGCUCGAAAGUGUGGGUAUCAAACAGGAUUAGAUACCCUGGUAGUCCACACGGUAAACGAUGAAUACUCGCUGUUUGCGAUAUACUGCAAGCGGCCAAGCGAAAGCGUUAAGUAUUCCACCUGGGGAGUACGCCGGCAACGGUGAAACUCAAAGGAAUUGACGGGGGCCCGCACAAGCGGAGGAACAUGUGGUUUAAUUCGAUGAUACGCGAGGAACCUUACCCGGGCUUAAAUUGCAGAUGAAUUACGGUGAAAGCCGUAAGCCGCAAGGCAUCUGUGAAGGUGCUGCAUGGUUGUCGUCAGCUCGUGCCGUGAGGUGUCGGCUUAAGUGCCAUAACGAGCGCAACCCUUGUUGUCAGUUACUAACAGGUUCCGCUGAGGACUCUGACAAGACUGCCAUCGUAAGAUGUGAGGAAGGUGGGGAUGACGUCAAAUCAGCACGGCCCUUACGUCCGGGGCUACACACGUGUUACAAUGGGGGGUACAGAGGGCCGCUACCACGCGAGUGGAUGCCAAUCCCCAAAACCUCUCUCAGUUCGGACUGGAGUCUGCAACCCGACUCCACGAAGCUGGAUUCGCUAGUAAUCGCGCAUCAGCCACGGCGCGGUGAAUACGUUCCCGGGCCUUGUACACACCGCCCGUCAAGCCAUGGGAGCCGGGGGUACCUGAAGUGCGUAACCGCGAGGAGCGCCCUAGGGUAAAACUGGU
rnacentral:rRNA from 1 species